GUGGGGAAUAUUGGACAAUGGGCGCAAGCCUGAUCCAGCCAUACCGCGUGGGUGAAGAAGGCCUUCGGGUUGUAAAGCCCUUUUGUUGGGAAAGAAAUCCUGUCGGUUAAUACCUGGCGGGGAUGACGGUACCCAAAGAAUAAGCACCGGCUAACUUCGUGCCAGCAGCCGCGGUAAUACGAAGGGUGCAAGCGUUACUCGGAAUUACUGGGCGUAAAGCGUGCGUAGGUGGUGGUUUAAGUCCGUUGUGAAAGCCCUGGGCUCAACCUGGGAAUUGCAGUGGAUACUGGAUCACUAGAGGGUGGGAGAGGGAUGCGGAAUUUCUGGUGUAGCAGUGAAAUGCGUAGAGAUCAGAAGGAACAUCCGUGGCGAAGGCGGCAUCCUGGGCCAACACUGACACUGAGGCACGAAAGCGUGGGGAGCAAACAGGAUUAGAAACCCUAGUAGUCC
rnacentral:rRNA from 1 species